rnacentral:tRNA from 3 species
GGCGGGUUGCCCGAGCGGCCAAUGGGAGCGGACUGUAAAUCCGUCGGCUUACGCCUACACAGGUUCGAAUCCUGUACCCGCCA